CAUGGUAUCAGAUGCUCCCAAUCUGAUCAACCCCUUUUCACAGAUUCCCGAUCCUGCUUCCGCUGCAGCCAUGAAAGACCAACCCAUUCCUCCUCCCCCACCUGCCGUCGGCGAUGCUGCCCCGCUUGCCCGUGCACCACCGCAGCCGCCGCCGGCCUCUGCACCACCUGCUCCCCUCCUUGCACCUAGUGCGCCUGCGCCCCUGCACCUGGCUAUUCCCACCACGACCCUGCUGCCGGCCUCUGUCCUCCAGACGAUCGACAUCCGCCGGCAUGUGUCCGUCACUCUCGACCUCCUCGCCGGCAACCACACCCAGUGGCGCCACUUCGACACGGCGAUCGCCAUGUUCGGCCUCCACGACCACAUCGACGCCAAGGCGGUUCCGCGCUUCGAUGACCCCGAGUGGGUGAUGGCGGACCACGCCGUCGUACAUUGGCUUAACACCACGUCUCGCCGAAGCUGCUUGAUGUUGUGAUGCAGGAUGAGGACACGGCGCUCACCGUUUGGACGGCGAUCGACACCCUGUUCCGGGACAAUUAGCCUGCCCGGGCCGUCUACAUCGACGCCGAGUACCAUGCCCUCGUGCAAGGCGACAUGUCGAUCAUGCAGUACUGCACGAAGCUGAAGACCUAUGCCGAUCAACUACGCGACCUUGGGCAGCCCGUGCAGGAGCCCCAGGAGGUCUUUCAUCUCCUCCGUGGGCUCGGCCGCCAGUACCAUGGCGCCAUCUCGCACAUCACCGCGCGCACGCCCCUGCCCUCCUUCCUGCAAGUCCACUCUUUCCUUCUCCUGGAAGAGCAUCGCACCGAGCAGUCUACGCGUCAGCAGGGUGUGCAUGCGCUCGUCACUGGGUGCGGCUCCACUCCGACAGCUCCUUCGCCGCCACCGCCUGCUGACCCCGCUGUUGGGCAUGGGCGUGGUCGCCAGCGUCGCCGCGGACGCGGCAACGAUGUCGGCUCCAGCUCUGCUUCGCCACCGGCAACCCGAGGGGGGGGGGUGUGCGCCGCCGACACCAGCACCAGGCUCCAACUCCUGGACUAGGCUCGUCCAGGCGUGGCCCAUGCCAUGGCGCGUGCCGGGCUCUGGUGUGCUCGGCCCUCAUCCCGGUACGCCGCCGCAGCAGGCCAUGUACGCUGCGCCCGCCUGAUCGCCGCCUGCUCCCAGAUAUGGCCCCUACGUCCCGCCGGGCUACACCGUUGCUCCUGUCUAUGGAGCAUCUCCAGGGCACACCGCGCCGCCCGGUGCCACCGGCCCUGCCGCGCCCACCCAACCAUGGGACAUGGCCUCUCUGUAGGCUGCUCUACACAGCGCCACCGCGGGACCUUCAUCAUCUGGCAGCACCUCUAACUGGUAUCUGGACUCCAACGCGGCGUCGCACAUGUCCAACUCCUCUGGACCUCAGGACAAGGACGGUGAUUCUGCGAUGUAACUCCACCGGCGACCUGUACCCCGUGGCAUCUAGUCCGUCAUCUGCACUUCCGUUCACCGGCUCGGUCACCACCGAUUUGCUCCAUCAGCGUCUUGGGCACCCCGGUGUUGCUUCAGUUUAGCAUGUCGCCUCGCUGUCGCCUUUUAGUUUCAGCAAAUCUGCUUCGCAUAGUUGUCAUGCUUGUAGGCUAGGGAAACAUACACGUUUGCCAUUUCAGCAUUCCACCAGUUGUACUUAUUUCCCGUUUCAGUUGCUAAAUCUUGAUGUAUGGACGUCCCCUGUGGCUAGUAUCUCAGGUUAUCAAUUUUAUCUUGUUGUGCUUGAUGAUUA